UAAGAAUAAAUUCAGCUUCAAGGGUAUGC
rnacentral:piRNA from 1 species